UUGCUUCGGCAGCACAUAUAUUAAAAUAGGAAUGAUACAGAGAAGAUUAGCAUGGCCCCUGUGCAAGGAUGACAAGCAAAUUCAUGAAGCGUUCCAUGAUUUU
rnacentral:snRNA from 1 species